rnacentral:rRNA from 1 species
CGGCGUGCUUAACACAUGCAAGUCGAACGGAAAGGCCCUGCUUUUGUGGGGUGCUCGAGUGGCGAACGGGUGAGUAACACGUGAGUAACCUGCCCUUGACUUUGGGAUAACUUCAGGAAACUGGGGCUAAUACCGGAUAGGAGCUCCUGCUGCAUGGUGGGGGUUGGAAAGUUUCGGCGGUUGGGGAUGGACUCGCGGCUUAUCAGCUUGUUGGUGGGGUAGUGGCUUACCAAGGCUUUGACGGGUAGCCGGCCUGAGAGGGUGACCGGCCACAUUGGGACUGAGAUACGGCCCAGACUCCUACGGGAGGCAGCAGUGGGGAAUAUUGCACAAUGGGCGGAAGCCUGAUGCAGCAACGCCGCGUGCGGGAUGACGGCCUUCGGGUUGUAAACCGCUUUCGCCUGUGACGAAGCGUGAGUGACGGUAAUGGGUAAAGAAGCACCGGCUAACUACGUGCCAGCAGCCGCGGUGAUACGUAGGGUGCGAGCGUUGUCCGGAUUUAUUGGGCGUAAAGGGCUCGUAGGUGGUUGAUCGCGUCGGAAGUGUAAUCUUGGGGCUUAACCCUGAGCGUGCUUUCGAUACGGGUUGACUUGAGGAAGGUAGGGGAGAAUGGAAUUCCUGGUGGAGCGGUGGAAUGCGCAGAUAUCAGGAGGAACACCAGUGGCGAAGGCGGUUCUCUGGGCCUUUCCUGACGCUGAGGAGCGAAAGCGUGGGGAGCGAACAGGCUUAGAUACCCUGGUAGUCCACGCUGUAAACGGUGGGUACUAGGUGUGGGGUCCAUUCCACGGGUUCCGUGCCGUAGCUAACGCUUUAAGUACCCCGCCUGGGGAGUACGGCCGCAAGGCUAAAACUCAAAGGAAUUGACGGGGCCCCGCACAAGCGGCGGAGCAUGCGGAUUAAUUCGAUGCAACGCGUAGAACCUUACCUGGGUUUGACAUGGAUCGGGAGUGCUCAGAGAUGGGUGUGCCUCUUUUGGGGUCGGUUCACAGGUGGUGCAUGGCUGUCGUCAGCUCGUGUCGUGAGAUGUUGGGUUAAGUCCCGCAACGAGCGCAACCCUUGUUCACUGUUGCCAGCACGUUAUGGUGGGGACUCAGUGGAGACCGCCGGGGUCAACUCGGAGGAAGGUGGGGAUGACGUCAAGUCAUCAUGCCCCUUAUGUCCAGGGCUUCACGCAUGCUACAAUGGCUGGUACAGAGAGUGGCGAGCCUGUGAGGGUGAGCGAAUCUCGGAAAGCCGGUCUCAGUUCGGAUUGGGGUCUGCAACUCGACCUCAUGAAGUCGGAGUCGCUAGUAAUCGCAGAUCAGCAACGCUGCGGUGAAUACGUUCCCGGGGCUUGUACACACCGCCCGUCAAGUCAUGAAAGUUGGUAACACCCGAAGCCGGUGGCCUAACCGUUGUGGGGGAGCCGUCGAAGGUGGGACUGGUGAUUAGGACUAAGUCAUAA